AAAUUAAUUUAAAAUUAAAAUUUUAAAUUUGAAAUAUAUGUGAAACUGAGGCCAACUUUGGAUGUUUGGUUUAAUUUGCUGUUCCACUUUAUCCUCUGAAGUAAUUUACAUUCUACCAAUUUAUCACAAAAUCUCAAUUGACCAAAAUGUCCUAAUAGUUGGACGCAUUUCCAAGGGCAAUUUGGGAAUGAAACGAAAAGGGCUAUUAUAAAGGGCAGAUGUAUAAACGAAGAAAAUCAAAUUAGAAUGAGGCUUUGCUCUCGGAGAGGUUGAUGGGUUUUCUUGGUAGGGUGGUCGUCUCCGUCUCCGAAUGGCUGCGGAGCCGAUGAUUUCACCUUGGAUUCUGUAAAGUCAACUGCCCUAUGUGUAUCUC
rnacentral:misc_RNA from 1 species